UAGCAUCCAGUGCAAAGGGUUCUAAGGUGAAGGAUGCAGCAAUAGCUCAAGCAUUAAGUUAUGCAGAUAUCCCUAACUCCCAAAUAAGAAAAGUCACUUCUUCACGCUUAUUGCUCUCUAAACAGACUCUUCCUCAUUACUAUUUAACUGUGGACACUUGGGUAGACAAACAUAUGCAGAGGAAGAGAAAAGAGUGAAAGAAGUGGGGCAAAAACUUUCGGAGUGUUCAAAGAACAAGGUUUUGGGCUCAUAUCGUGAUGGCUAAUGAAUUCCUCUUUUGUUGCUGCGGAUAGGGUUUAUCAUACGAGCACUUCUAAAUCCCCAGUUGAAAUUUCUUUACAUCAAGGAUACUUCUCUUCUCACAUGCUAUUAAGUUUGCAACUCUUUGUAUUUUUUCUUAUUAACAUUUCUCUUGGUAUAUCAAAGACCAAAUUGACUAUGUAAUUGUCAGUUGUACCUGCAUUUGAGAAGAUAAUGGAAUUGUUACUUAUUUGCUCU